ensembl:rRNA 5S_rRNA 5S ribosomal RNA
GCUUACGGCCAUACCACCUUAGGCACGCCCGAUCUCGUCUGAUCUCGGAAGCUAAGCAGGGUCGGGCCUGGUUAGUACUUGGAUGGUUGACCGCCUGGGAAUACCAGGUGCUGUAAGAA